GAUGAACGCUGGCGGCGUGCCUAAUACAUGCCAGUCGAGUGAACAGACGAGGAGCUUGCUCCUUCGACGUUAGCGGCGGACGGGUGAGUAACACGUAGGUAACCUACCUAUAAGACUGGGAUAACUUCGGGAAACCGGAGCUAAUACCGGAUAAUAUUUCGAACCGCAUGGUUCGAUAGUGAAAGAUGGCUUUGCUAUCACUUAUAGAUGGACCUGCGCCGUAUUAGCUAGUUGGUAAGGUAACGGCUUACCAAGGCAACGAUACGUAGCCGACCUGAGAGGGUGAUCGGCCACACUGGAACUGAGACACGGUCCAGACUCCUACGGGAGGCAGCAGUAGGGAAUCUUCCGCAAUGGGCGAAAGCCUGACGGAGCAACGCCGCGUGAGUGAUGAAGGUCUUCGGAUCGUAAAACUCUGUUAUUAGGGAAGAACAAACGUGUAAGUAACUGUGCACGUCUUGACGGUACCUAAUCAGAAAGCCACGGCUAACUACGUG
rnacentral:rRNA from 1 species